GACGAACGCUGGCGGCGUGCUUAACACAUGCAAGUCGAGCGAUGAAGCUUCCUUCGGGAAGUGGAUUAGCGGCGGACGGGUGAGUAACACGUGGGUAACCUGCCUCAAAGUGGGGGAUAGCCUUCCGAAAGGAGGAUUAAUACCGCAUAAUAUGAGAGAAUCGCAUGAUUUUCUUAUCAAAGAUUUAUUGCUUUGAGAUGGACCCGCGGCGCAUUAGCUAGUUGGUAAGGUAAUGGCUUACCAAGGCAACGAUGCGUAACCGACCUGAGAGGGUGAUCGGCCACAUUGGAACUGAGACACGGUCCAGACUCCUACGGGAGGCAGCAGUGGGGAAUAUUGCGCAAUGGGGGAAACCCUGACGCAGCAACGCCGCGUGGGUGAUGAAGGUCUUCGGAUUGUAAAGCCCUGUUUUCUGGGACGAUAAUGACGGUACCAGAGGAGGAAGCCACGGCUAACUACGUGC
rnacentral:rRNA from 1 species